rnacentral:misc_RNA from 1 species
GAAAUGCGAUAAGUAAUGUGAAUUGCAGAAUUCAGUGAAUCAUCGAAUCUUUGAACGCACAUUGCGCCCGCCAGUAUUCUGGCGGGCAUGCCUGUUCGAGCGUCAUUACAACCCUCAGGCCCCCGGGCCUGGCGUUGGGGAUCGGCGGAAGCCCCCUGCGGGCACAACGCCGUCCCCCAAAUACAGUGGCGGUCCCGCCGCAGCUUCCAUUGCGUAGUAGCUAACACCUCGCAACUGGAGAGCGGCGCGGCCACGCCGUAAAACACCCAACUUCUGAAUGUUGACCUCGAAUCAGGUAGGAAUACCUGCUGAACUUAAGC